CAAUUUCAGACAGAAUCUUAUCUUACUAAGCAAACUGGAUUCAAGAGGCUACUGGACGGUAGUAAAGGAAAGAAAAAAUGUUUCUCUUCGAAAGGCCCAGGUUGCAUCUAAAAAUUUUUCAUUUUAUCUACAUGAACAAGGAUCAAAUCUUUACCUGAAUAGAAAUAAAAUCAGAGAUCAAAUCUCAAAUAAUCUGAAUUAAACCUUCAUGGAGGUCUGGAUGUACAGACCCUCUACUUUGCAUGCACGCC
rnacentral:lncRNA from 1 species